GCCCCCUCGCCUUAAUGCAGCGCCCGCCGACGUCACGGCGGGCUGCGACCAAUCAGCGCCUCGCGGUCCCUCUGUAAACCAUUCUGCAUCCCCCGGCCCGGGAGAGUGCGGGGAGACCGCGUUUAGAGGAUCAGUGUCGGUACUUACGGCCCCGCGCGGCACCGGCGACGGGCAGCGAGGUGCCCUGGCCUCCUCCUGCUUCGGAAGAAAGGAAAGAGCAAGGUGUAGCUGAUUAGCAAGUUAAUUAUUUCAGUACCCCAAGGGUUCCAGUGUGGUGGAGAUAGCCACGACACCAGGUUCCAGAGAAGCAGCUUCCUGACUUCGGCAGCACAAGGAUGGCACAGUACUCUCUGAUGCCGGUGUUCAGCUGUCCCUCACAGGUUGGCUGAUUCCCCCACUGGUGGAGAGGGCUGGGGGCUGUCUGAAAAGAUGGUGCCACUGCUGGUGGCAGGGGACUUGGGGAGCGGGGGGGGGGGUGAGUCCAAUUGCUGUUCGGGUUGGACUUGGUCUCCUUCUCCUUCCAGUCCUAGGAAAUCUCCGUAGGAGAAAAGAUAGCGAGGGAAACUUUGAAUGCAGGAAGGCAGGCAGAGGGAGGAGGUUCUCAUUUCAGUCUUGCCAAAGAUGAAGCCCAGGGAGGGUGGUGACAGAUGUUGGAGAGUGAGGCACUGAGGUGCCAUGUGGGAUCUUGGCCCUGACUCAGAAGAUGAAUAAGUCCUUGGCAAGUUUGGAAAGACUUACAAGUGCCAUGUAUUCAUCAUCCCUGGGGAUUAAGUGGGAUUUCUUUUUGCUGCCCAGUGGCUGGUGAGGAAGUGUUUUCAGCUUGUCUGAUGCUCGUGCGUGGCUCACGACCCACUUUGACCUUGUAGAGGAAGACUCUGACUUUCUGGACUCUAGGUUUUCUUUGCCUCAGGCCAUUCAUAAUGGAGGCAGAAUUCUAGUUCACUGUUCAGCACUGGGUCUGAAAGGUGAGAGCUGGCAGGCCUGUGACCAGGUGAUCUACAAGCCUUUUCUCAUUUGGGCUUCCCCUUAAACAAGAGACGCAAGGGACAGUCUCUGUGAAUCUUUUCAGGAAGGAUUUACCCUCAAUUUGAUAAGUUUGGUACUUCCUUUCCUUCCUUCUGAAUGGAUAACUUUGUCAGUCAACCUGAGGGUCUGUGGAACCUAUAAAAACGCUUCCUUUGGCCUCACUGUUUGAACCCAUGCUGGGGCUCCCCCUGGUCUGCCUUCCCCCACCCCAAAUCCUCACCCUCUACUUUAUCUCCCUUUACUACAAAUGCAGAGACCUCCUAGGGAAGUGAGAAGGAAUGGGUUUUAAUCAGGUUUAGGGCAGGAAGAGGAAUAAGGGAAGCCCAAAGAAAGAUGGGGGCAGUUGGGAUUCUAGAUGACACUCUUCUGUUAUCCUUCUCAUGUUUUGUGUAUUAUAUCCUACAAAUUAUGCCUUUGUUGCAGUAAUCUACAGCGUAUUUUGUACACUUGCCAAAUGCUGCUUGGUCAAAACAGUGUUAAAUAAAAUUGUAAGAAAUGCUA